rnacentral:rRNA from 1 species
GGGCUUGCGGCAGCUACACAUGCAGUCGAACGGUAGCACAGAGAGCUUGCUCUCGGGUGACGAGUGGCGGACGGGUGAGUAAUGUCUGGGAAACUGCCUGAUGGAGGGGGAUAACUACUGGAAACGGUAGCUAAUACCGCAUAACGUCGCAAGACCAAAGAGGGGGACCUUCGGGCCUCUUGCCAUCAGAUGUGCCCAGAUGGGAUUAGCUAGUAGGUGGGGUAACGGCUCACCUAGGCGACGAUCCCUAGCUGGUCUGAGAGGAUGACCAGCCACACUGGAACUGAGACACGGUCCAGACUCCUACGGGAGGCAGCAGUGGGGAAUAUUGCACAAUGGGCGCAAGCCUGAUGCAGCCAUGCCGCGUGUAUGAAGAAGGCCUUCGGGUUGUAAAGUACUUUCAGCGGGGAGGAAGGUGUUGUGGUUAAUAACCGCAGCAAUUGACGUUACCCGCAGAAGAAGCACCGGCUAACUCCGUGCCAGCAGCCGCGGUAAUACGGAGGGUGCAAGCGUUAAUCGGAAUUACUGGGCGUAAAGCGCACGCAGGCGGUCUGUCAAGUCGGAUGUGAAAUCCCCGGGCUCAACCUGGGAACUGCAUUCGAAACUGGCAGGCUGGAGUCUUGUAGAGGGGGGUAGAAUUCCAGGUGUAGCGGUGAAAUGCGUAGAGAUCUGGAGGAAUACCGGUGGCGAAGGCGGCCCC